rnacentral:rRNA from 12 species
CGACGACGUUGAUAGGCCGGGUGUGUAAGCGCAGCGAUGCGUUGAGCUAACCGGUACUAAUGAACCGUGAGGCUUAACCUU